AAUCAGCGAAAGCUGGAUGCAGCGAACGCCGCGUGGGCGAUGAAGGCCUUCGGGUUGUAAAGCCCUUUUAUGGGGGAAGAGAAAAAGGACGGUACCCCAAAGAAUAAGUCCCGGCUAACUACGUGCCAGCAGCCGCGGUAAAACGUAGGGGACAAGCGUUAUCCGGAUUUACUGGGCGUAAAGAGCGUUGAGGCGGUUCCGUAAGUUGGGCGUUAAAGCCCCGGGCUCAACUCGGGGAGGUCGUUCAAUACUGCGGAACUUGAGGGCAGCAGAGGGAGGGCGGAAUUCCCGGUGUACCGGUGAAAUGCGUAGAUAUCGGGAGGGACACCAGUGGCGAAGGCGGCCUCCUGGGCUGCUCCUGACGCUGAAGGCGAAAGCUAGGGGAGCGAACGGGAUUAGAAACCCCGGUAGUCCUAGCCGUAAACGAUGGAUGCUGGGUGUGGGGGGUAUAGAUUCCCUCCGUGCCGAAGCUAACGCGUUAAGCAUCCCGCCUGGGGACUACGGCCGCAAGGCUAAAACUCAAACGAAUUGACGGGUCCCCGCACAAGCAGCGGAGCGUGUGGUUUAAUUCGAUGCUACACGAAGAACCUUACCUGGGUUUGACAUGCAAGUAGUAGUGAAGCGAAAGCGGAACGACCCUUCGGGGAGCUUGCACAGGUGCUGCAUGGCUGUCGUCAGCUCGUGCCGUGAGGUGUCGGGUUAAGUCCCGUAACGAGCGCAACCCUUGCCCUUAGUUAUACGUGUCUAAGGGGACUGCCCGGGACAACUGGGAGGAAGGUGGGGAUGACGUCAAGUCAGCAUGGCCUUUAUAUCCAGGGCGACACACACGCUACAAUGGCCGGUACAAUGGGUUGCCAAGCCGUGAGGCGGAGCCAAUCCCGCAAAGCCGGUCUAAGUUCGGAUUGUGGGCUGCAACUCGCCCACAUGAAGCUGGAGUUGCUAGUAACCGCGCGUCAGCCAUAGUGCGGUGAAUACGUUCCCNGGGGAUUGUACACACCGCCCGUCACGUCAUGGAAGCUGGCAACACCUAAAGCCGGUAUGCUAACCCGAAAGGGAAGCCGCCGUCUAAGGUGGGGCUGG
rnacentral:rRNA from 1 species